CCACUGCAAGAGUAAACAUAGUAACUUUAAAAAUAGCAAAUGUAUUAACGUUGACACAUUGACAAAAAAAAAAAAGUGUCAAUGAAACAAUUGAAUCAAUGAAAAUAACUCGAUUUAACUAGCUGAUCAAAUAUAUAACAAUGGUAAUGACCAUUAAAACUGUUGAUAAAGUAUUUGAAAAGUUUACAGGGAUCAAAAGUCAUGAACGGGACUGCUGUGUAUUUA